rnacentral:rRNA from 1 species
GAGUUUGAUCAUGGCUCAGAUUGAACGCUGGCGGCAUGCCUUACACAUGCAAGUCGAACGGCAGCACGGGAGCUUGCUCCUGGUGGCGAGUGGCGAACGGGUGAGUAAUGCAUCGGAACGUAUCCUGGAGUGGGGGAUAACGUAGCGAAAGUUACGCCAAUACCGCAUAUUCUGUGAGCAGGAAAGCGGGGGACCUUCGGGCCUCGCGCUCUUGGAGCGGCCGAUGUCGGAUUAGCUAGUUGGUGAGGUAAAGGCUCACCAAGGCGACGAUCCGUAGCAGGUCUGAGAGGAUGAUCUGCCACACUGGAACUGAGACACGGUCCAGACUCCUACGGGAGGCAGCAGUGGGGAAUUUUGGACAAUGGGGGCAACCCUGAUCCAGCCAUGCCGCGUGUGUGAAGAAGGUCUUCGGAUUGUAAAGCACUUUAAGUUGGGAGGAAGGGCAGUAAGUUAAUACCUUGCUGUUUUGACGUUACCGACAGAAUAAGCACCGGCUAACUCUGUGCC